AUGGCAACGGAGGUCGCCGCUGCUGGCGCAAGAAUGCCAGUGUCAGUGCUGGUUCUCGUGGCAUUGGUCGUGGUCUGCCUGUCCGCCAACGGGGCGGCGGCGCAGCAGGCAAGCGGCGUGGCGGCGACGUACAACCUGUACCACCCAGAGAAGAUCAACUGGGACCUGCGCGUGGCCAGCGUCUUCUGCGCGACGUGGGACGCCGACAUGCCGCUGGCGUGGCGGCAGAGGUACGGCUGGACGGCGUUCUGUGGCCCCGCCGGCGCGCACGGCCAGCCGUCCUGCGGCCGCUGCCUCCAGGUGACGAACAGGGCGACGGGGGCGAGGACGGUGGCGAGGGUGGUGGACCAGUGCGACAACGGCGGGCUCGACCUUGACGUCGCCGUGUUCCAGCGGAUCGACACCGACGGGGGCGGCGUCGCCAACGGCCACCUCGUCGUCGACUACCAGUUCGUCGGCUGCUAG
rnacentral:rRNA from 1 species